rnacentral:misc_RNA from 1 species
CUCCCCGGUUACAAGCAUUUAUCCACCCGCACGUAACACGCAUCCAGCAAAAUUUACAAUACCUGACCUCCUAAUCUCACCCCUACACAUAAGUGAGGCGGUUUCCGGUGGUAGCGAGGUCGUCACUGGAAGCUGCCGCGUGCACAGAUCAGACGCAUACAAAUCAUAGGCCUCUUUCAGGGACGGCUACGAUUGACAAACGGAAU